CUUUAGGGUACCAUUAAAGCGUUCACAGAGACCGUUAGUUUGAGGGUGAUACGGGGAACUAAGGAGGGAUUGGACACCGCAGGCCUUCCAUAACUGCUGAGUUAGGUCUGCGGUGAACUGAGUCCCUCGAUCCGACAGGAUUUCCCGGGGAAAUCCUACUCUGGUGAAGAUCCCAACGAGAGCACUGGCGACAGUGUCAGCCUGGAUAUUCGUCAGAGCGACGGCUUCUGGGUAGCGGGUAGCAUAGUCUACUACAGUAAGAAUAUAUUUCUUCCCAGAGGGACUGGGGUUAGGUAGGGGUCCCACUAGGUCGACUGCCACCCUGCUAAAUGGUUCCUCGAUC